rnacentral:rRNA from 1 species
AUUGAACGCUGGCGGCAGGCUUAACACAUGCAAGUCGAGCGGGGGAGGUUGCUUCGGUAACUGACCUAGCGGCGGACGGGUGAGUAAUGCUUAGGAAUCUGCCUAUUAGUGGGGGACAACAUCUCGAAAGGGAUGCUAAUACCGCAUACGUCCUACGGGAGAAAGCAGGGGACCUUCGGGCCUUGCGCUAAUAGAUGAGCCUAAGUCGGAUUAGCUAGUUGGUGGGGUAAAGGCCUACCAAGGCGACGAUCUGUAGCGGGUCUGAGAGGAUGAUCCCCCGCACUGGGACUGAGACACGGCCCAGCCUCCUACGGGAGCAAGCAGUGGGGAAUAUUGGACAAUGGGUGGAACCCUGAUCCAGCCAUGCCGCGUGUGUGAAGAAGGCCUUUUGGUUGUAAAGCACUUUAAGCGAGGAGGAGGCUACUGGUAUUAAUACUACCGGAUAGUGGACGUUACUCGCAGAAUAAGCACCGGCUAACUCUGUGGCAUCAGCCGCCGUAAAAC